ACGAAAACUGCUUUCUGAGGAUAGCCCCACCCAACAAUUAUCCACAGAGUUUCAGGUCUAGACAAUGGAAUCAUCUCCCACUGGACAAGGUGAAUAUCCAGUUCUCUUAAGUUGUUUAAGAUGGAUCUGGACAAAACACCAGAGAACAUCUAUCAUCACCGGGACUUAUGACUGGACAAAGGUGGUAUAUCGAACAAGACUCAAGUGGGAAUAAUAUUAUAAAAUGAAACACAUUUCUUUUCUUUUGGACUAGAGUUCAUUUAAAGGAUUUAAGCAAAGGUCCACAAUUCAGAAAUCAGGAGCCUAAUGCUAACCCUUCACCAAAUAAGUCCCUCUAAUGAGAUGAAAAAUGGAGGUCAUCAGACUUCACUACCAUGCUGAAGUAUUUUGCAGGUCAUUGGGUUAAUGCAUGAAAGCAUGUGGAAGAAAGACACUAAAGAAUUAUUAUUAGGGGCUCCCAUAGGCAUCAUGCUUGCCCUCAACAUAGAGGUUUGUCUAGAGAAUAUAUGUAAUAUCAUCACACAGAUAUGAACUUGCUACUCCCCGUCCCAACAUGUCUGCUGCUUCAUCACAAGACUGCUAGGGAUAUCAAAUGGACACUGUGUUCCAUCAUGGUAGCAAUUUAAAAUGCAAUCCAACCUGGCCUUUGUAUUUGGUUUAUCCACCUUUGGUACCCACUUGUCACCCAGCCCUCAUCUCUGGCUCCAAGAAGCUGUAGCAUGCCCAGCAGCCCCUGGGAAGACUGGCUAA